GGAUGAACGCUGGCGGCGUGCCUAAUACAUGCAAGUCGAACGCAUAUCUUCGGAUAUGAGUGGCGAACGGGUGAGUAAUACAUAAGUAACCUGGCCUUAAGAGGGGGAUAACUAUUAGAAAUGAUAGCUAAGACCGCAUAGGUAUGAAGAUCGCAUGAUCGACAUAUUAAAUAUCCCACGGGAUUGCUGAAGGAUGGACUUAUGGCGCAUUAGCUAGUUGGUAGGGUAACGGCCUACCAAGGCGACGAUGCGUAGCCGACCUGAGAGGGUGGACGGCCACACUGGGACUGAGACACGGCCCAGACUCCUACGGGAGGCAGCAGUAGGGAAUUUUCGGCAAUGGGGGGAACCCUGACCGAGCAACGCCGCGUGAGGGAGGAAGUAUUUCGGUAUGUAAACCUCUGUUAUAAAGGAAGAACGGUGCAUGUAGGGAAUGACAUGCAAGUGACGGUACUUUAUGAGGAAGCCACGGCUAACUACGUGCCAGCAGCCGCGGUAAUACGUAGGUGGCGAGCGUUAUCCGGAAUUAUUGGGCGUAAAGAGGGAGCAGGCGGCAGCUAAGGUCUGCGGUGAAAGCCCGAAGCUAAACUUCGGUAAGCCGUGGAAACCGAGCAGCUAGAGUGCAGUAGAGGAUCGUGGAAUUCCAUGUGUAGCGGUGAAAUGCGUAGAUAUAUGGAGGAACACCAGUGGCGAAGGCGACGAUCUGGGCUGCAACUGACGCUCAGUCCCGAAAGCGUGGGGAGCAAAUAGGAUUAGAUACCCUAGUAGUCCACGCCGUAAACGAUGAGUACUAAGUGUUGGGGGUCAAACCUCAGUGCUGCAGUUAACGCAAUAAGUACUCCGCCUGAGUAGUACGUUCGCAAGAAUGAAACUCAAAGGAAUUGACGGGGGCCCGCACAAGCGGUGGAGCAUGUGGUUUAAUUCGAAGCAACGCGAAGAACCUUACCAGGUCUUGACAUCGAUCUAAAGGAUCCAGAGAUGGAUAGAUAGUUAUAGAGAAGACAGGUGGUGCAUGGUUGUCGUCAGCUCGUGUCGUGAGAUGUUGGGUUAAGUCCCGCAACGAGCGCAACCCUUGUCGUUAGUUACCAGCAGUAAGAUGGGGACUCUAGCGAGACUGCCUCUGCAAGGAGGAGGAAGGCGGGGAUGACGUCAAAUCAUCAUGCCCCUUAUGACCUGGGCUACACACGUGCUACAAUGGACGGAUCAAAGGGAAGCGAAGCCGCGAGGUGAAGCGAAACUCAAAAACCCGUUCUCAGUUCGGACUGCAGUCUGCAACUCGACUGCACGAAGUUGGAAUCGCUAGUAAUCGCGAAUCAGAAUGUCGCGGUGAAUACGUUCUCGGGCCUUGUACACACCGCCCGUCACACCAUGAGAGUUGGUAACACCCGAAGCCGGUGGCCUAACCGCAAGGAAGGAGCUGUCUAAGGUGGGACUGAUGAUUGGGGUGAAGUCGUAACAAGGUAACC
rnacentral:rRNA from 1 species